UGCAGCUCCGGACGCACCAGUGGACUUUUAACCGUUUGGAAGAGACACAAAGAUCUCUACUGCGAGGGGAAGGAGCAGAGAGGAGAGAGGAGCUGGAGGAUGAGGAGCAGGAGAGUCACCAGAUGAAUGAAUGAAUCCUGGACAGAGGAUCCACUUUAGAAACUUGAGAUCACCCGCCUACCAGUUUGUAUUAACAACCCCUCCGUGUGCAGUAUCUUCAGUACACGCUUUCCUCCAGAGCUGUGGAGUGUGACAAUGGUGUUUGUGUCCUGUGAAUCAAACGCCAUUAUCACACUAAAUAGCUCCAGUGUGAAACAGACCUCAUGAUAGUCCUCAGUUUCCUGGUGUCCACCUUCUUGUUUGUUUUGUGUCUCGUGCAUUAGUUGUUAUAGUUUCCUCAUUACAUCACAUUACAUUUGGCUGGCGAUUGUAUCCAAAGCGACUUACAAUAAAUGCAAAAACCAUUGAGAUUCCAGCUCCGAACAACAAGGAGAGUGCAGAUAUAUUCAUAGUCUUUGUGAGUGCUGGUGAAUUGGGUACAAGGCCUAAGCUAACUCUUUAAAGUGCUUUUAUUUUUAAAGAGUUCUUGCUGUACAGCCUGAAACACAUAGGGGACACACUACGCUGUGUUGCAGUGUUGAUACGGCGUGCAUGAUGUUGAGCCUCUGAGUGUGACCCACUUACUUUGUGUUCGAGGUGCUAACUUGAGACGUCUCCUGUGAGGAUAAAUGAAAAUAGACGUGCCAUUUGUUUUCAUGCUGCCGCCAUUCCUUGUGUUGUGUCAAACUUUAAAAAAAGAAAAACGGUUAUGAUAUAAAGUACUUUUGUAAAUUGCCUGUUAAUAUAUUUUGAUAGACAAAGAAACACCUUCAAACCCAGCCCGAUGUUCAAUUACAAGCAGGCAUUUGCAUACAGUGUCCAAAUCCUGAUCUCUUCAAACCUGAAAUGUGAUUUGAUCAAGAAAAUUAGAAAGCAUUUUCAACCAGUAACAUGUCUUUAAUAAAACAGAUCUAUUGUGUGCUUACAUAUUUACCAUAACCUGAGAACUAUGUCAGCAACUUAGGUCAGAAAUAUAAAAGACAACAGUGAGGGUUUGACAGAGAGGGGUAUCAUAAGAAGACUGCCUUUACAAAGCUGCUAUGGUGUUGAAAUGUGGCUCUAGAUGUCAGGUUUAGGAUUCAUUUGAAGCCGUUCACUUGAUCUGAAAUAGAUUAUAGAUCCUUGAAGGAUGUCAGACAUACAAAUACAAGUAACAGUCAGAACUGCAUACAAUGAUAUAUAAAUAAAUCUCUCAACCAUA